rnacentral:rRNA from 1 species
UACGGGGGGGGCAAGCGUUGUUCGGAAUUACUGGGCGUAAAGGGCUUGUAGGCGGCCAACUAAGUCAAACGUGAAAUCCCUCGGCUUAACCGGGGAACUGCGCUUGAUACUGGAUGGCUUGAAUUCGGGAGAGGGAUGCGGAAUUCCAGGUGUAGCGGUGAAAUGCGUAGAUAUCUGGAGGAACACCGGUGGCGAAGGCGGCAUCCUGGACGGAUACUGACGCUGAGGCGCGAAAGCCAGGGGAGCAAACGGG